UACGUAGGUGGCAAGCGUUGUCCGGAUUUAUUGGGUUUAAAGGGUGCGUAGGCGGCUUUGUAAGUCAGUGGUGAAAUAUGGCAGCUCAACUGUCAGGGUGCCAUUGAUACUGCGGAGCUUGAGUACAGAUGAGGUAGGCGGAAUUGGACGGUGUAGCGGUGAAAUGCUUAGAUAUCGUCAAGAACACCGAUAGCGAAGGCAGCUUACUGGGCUGUAACUGACGCUGAGGCACGAAAGUGUGGGGAUCAAACAGG
rnacentral:rRNA from 1 species